CCUACGUGAGGCUGCAGUGGGGAAUAUUGGACAAUGGGCGAAAGCCUGAUCCAGCCAUGCCGCGUGUGUGAAGAAGGCCUUCGGGUUGUAAAGCACUUUCAGUGGGGAAGAAAGCCUUGGGGCUAAUACCCUCGAGGAAGGACAUCACCCACAGAAGAAGCACCGGCUAACUCCGUGCCAGCAGCCGCGGUAAUACGGAGGGUGCGAGCGUUAAUCGGAAUUACUGGGCGUAAAGCGCGCGUAGGCGGUCUGAUAAGCCGGUUGUGAAAGCCCCGGGCUCAACCUGGGAACGGCAUCCGGAACUGUCAGGCUAGAGUGCAGGAGAGGAAGGUAGAAUUCCCGGUGUAGCGGUGAAAUGCGUAGAGAUCGGGAGGAAUACCAGUGGCGAUGGCGGCCUUCUGGACUGACACUGACGCUGAGGUGCGAAAGCGUGGGUAGCAAACAGGAUUAGAUACCCUAGUAGUC
rnacentral:rRNA from 1 species